GUGCCAGCAGCCGCGGUAAUACGAAGGGUGCAAGCGUUAUUCGGAAUCACUGGGCGUAAAGGGUGCGUAGACGGUAGGUUAAGUUCGUUGUUAAAGGCUCCGGCCUAACUGGAGUAUUGCAAUGAAAACUGGUCUGCUAGAGGGUGAGAGAGAGAAGUGGAAUUCCCGGAGUAGCGGUAAAAUGCGUGGAUCUCGGGAGGAACACCAAUGGCGAAGGCAGCUUCUUGGCUCAUUCCUGACGUUGAGGCACGAAAGCGUGGGGAGCAAACAGGAUUAGAUACCCGCGUAGUCC
rnacentral:rRNA from 1 species